AGUAAUGUAUGGGGACCUGCCCGAUAGAGGGGAAUAACUACUGGAAACGGUGGCUAAUACCGCAUAAUGUCUACGGACCAAAGCAGGGGCUCUUCGGACCUUGCACUAUCGGAUGAACCCAUAUGGGAUUAGCUAGUAGGUGGGGUAAAGGCUCACCUAGGCGACGAUCUCUAGCUGGUCUGAGAGGAUGAUCAGCCACACUGGGACUGAGACACGGCCCAG
rnacentral:rRNA from 1 species